rnacentral:rRNA from 1 species
GAUGAACGCUAGCUACAGGCUUAAUACAUGCAAGUCGAGGGACCGGCUCACGGGUGAGUAACACGUAUCCAACCUACCCUUUACUCAGGGAUAGCCUUUCGAAAGAAAGAUUAAUACCCGAUAUUAACGAUGGGGUUGCGUUCCAUUAGGUUGUUGGUGAGGUAACGGCUCACCAAGCCUUCGAUGGAUAGGGGUUCUGAGAGGAAGGGCACACACAUUGGAACUGAGACCAGGUCCAAACUGCUACGGGAGGCAGCAGGGAGGAAUAUUGGUCAAUGGGCGCUAGCCUGAAACAGCCAAGUAGCGUGAAGGAUGAAGGCUUAUGGGUCGUAAACUUCUUUGAAAAAAGAAUAUGUAUUAAAUGAAUAAGGAUCGGCUAACUACGUGCCAGCAGCCGCGGUAAUAC